GAUGAACGCUGGCGGCGUGCCUAAUACAUGCAAGUCGAGCGAACAGACGAGGAGCUUGCUCCUCUGACGUUAGCGGCGGACGGGUGAGUAACACGUGGAUAACCUACCUAUAAGACUGGGAUAACUUCGGGAAACCGGAGCUAAUACCGGAUAACAUGUUGAACUGCAUGGUUCAACAGUGAAAGACUGUCUUGCUGUCACUUAUAGAUGGAUCCGCGCCGAAUUAGCUAGUUGGUAAGGUAACGGCUUACCAAGGCAACGAUGCGUAGCCGACCUGAGAGGGUGAUCGGCCACACUGGAACUGAGACACGGUCCAGACUCCUACGGGAGGCAGCAGUAGGGAAUCUUCCGCAAUGGGCGAAAGCCUGACGGAGCAACGCCGCGUGAGUGAAGAAGGUCUUCGGAUCGUAAAACUCUGUUAUUAGGGAAGAACAAAUGUGUAAGUAACUAUGCACGUCUUGACGGUACCUAAUCAGAAAGCCACGGCUAACUACGUG
rnacentral:rRNA from 1 species